AUGUUACAUUAACUACAAAUUCAGAUUUAAAUUCUGGACCCAUUACUUCAUUUAAGAUGAGAUUGAGCCCUUGUUUUUGUGUCUCAAGAAUCCAUAAGAGUUCAAAAUGGGAAGGUGGUGAAAGUUUGUCCUGCCUACUCAGUCCCACAGUUUGUCCUCCUCCUGAGAAAAUUUGAGCCACCAUUUUGACUUGUUCUACCAUGCGCGGAGAAAGUGCUGUCCUUUCUGAUCCCAGAAGGAAAGUGUGGAUAAGGGGCUGCUUGGUCCAGGGAAGAAGCAGAAUCGUUUGGAAUUUCUACACUAUGGACCAGAUGAGAUGCCAAAUAUUCUUCUGCAACUCACUGGAAAAGAUGAAAAUCCAAUUACGGGAUUCCUGACAUGCAAGUAGUUUUGA